rnacentral:misc_RNA from 1 species
AAAGUCGUAACAAGGUUUCCGUAGGUGAACCUGCGGAAGGAUCAUUACUGAGGAACUCGCAUCGUUGUCGCUGGCCUUCGGGCAUGUGCACGCGUUGCAUUCUCAUCCACACACCUGUGAACCUAUCAGAGAGGGAUGGCGUUCGCGUCGUCUCUCUUUUUAUAUACAACUUUGUUAAUUCAGAACGUCGUAACAUUAAUAAAUGUAACAACUUUCAACAACGGAUCUCUUGGCUCUC